UACGUAGGGGGCAAGCGUUGUCCGGAUUUACUGGGCGUAAAGAGCGCGCAGGCGGCUUGGCAAGUCGGGUGUGAAAUCCCGGGGCUCAACCCCGGGACUGCAUUCGAUACUGUCAGGCUAGAGGUAGGUAGGGGAGAUCGGAAUUCCUGGUGUAGCGGUGAAAUGCGUAGAUAUCUGGAGGAACAUCGGUGGCGAAGGCGGCAUCCUGGACCGGUAUUGACGCUGAGGCGCGAAAGCCAGGGGAGCAAACGGG
rnacentral:rRNA from 1 species